rnacentral:rRNA from 1 species
UAGCUGGUCUGAGAGGAUGGCCAGCCACACUGGAACUGAGACACGGUCCAGACUCCUACGGGAGGCAGCAGUGGGGAAUAUUGGACAAUGGGGGCAACCCUGAUCCAGCAAUGCCGCGUGUGUGAAGAAGGCCUGAGGGUUGUAAAGCACUUUCAGUGGGGAGGAGGAUUGAUUGGUUAAGAGCUGAUUAAUUGGACGUUACCCACAGAAGAAGCACCGGCUAACUCCGUGCCAGCAGCCGCGGUAAUACGGAGGGUGCGAGCGUUAAUCGGAAUUACUGGGCGUAAAGGGUGCGUAGGUGGUUUGAUAAGUUAUCUGUAAAAGCCCAGGGCUCAACCUUGGAAGGCCAGAUAAUACUGUUGAACUGGAGUAUGGGAG